UACAGAGGUGGCAAGCGUUGUUCGGAAUUACUGGGCGUAAAGCGUGCGUAGUCGGCCAUUCAAGUCGGGUGUGAAAGCCCCGGGCUCAACCUGGGAAUUGCAUUCGAUACUGUGUGGCUAGAGUUCGGCAGAGGGAAGUGGAAUUUCUGGUGUAGCGGUGAAAUGCGUAGAUAUCAGAAGGAACAUCAGUGGCGAAAGCGACUUCCUGGACCAGAACUGACGAUCAGGCACGAAAGCGUGGGGAGCAAACAGG
rnacentral:rRNA from 1 species